CCUUUUAGAAAAUGUGAUACCUGAUCUCUGGGUCUAGCAGGCCGAGGCAUUUUUUGUAUUUGUAUAAUACAAUGUCUGGCCUUCCCCCUGACCUGCUGGUGUAUUUUUGGUCUCAUUAGUAGUCAGGGAGAUGCUUUAGUGCAUCCGGUGCUGCGAGUCAAGGAUGAGACACUACAACAGAGAGAGGGAGUGAGCGCGAGAGGAUAUUAGAAGAGAGGCUUGUCUCCAAGAUAUGGAAGGAAGUGAGAAAUGACAGGACUGUGAGCUUUGUAUGGAGGAGCGUGGCAGGGCGGGGGAGCGGCGAGGAGAGCGAAGUGGAUUCUCAGGCAAGGGGGGAAGCCAUAGAAGAGCUAAAGGUGAUUACAGGGGGAUAUUGAUUCCUUAUUCUGCCAGAGAUUUAAGCAGGCAUGCGAGGAAUCUGCACCAUGGUUGGCAAAAGGAGACCCGUUGCCUCCUGUAACCAGACACUCGGGCUUUCCAGGAGCCUAGGGAGAGAGCUGAGAAGAAAGGGGGCAGUGUGGUCUAGGAAAAUUCGACUUGUCGCUGAUUUGUGCCUGAUGCUUGCUGUCCGUCAGCAGCCUCCCUUACAAUCUUUUUUUCUCUCUCUCCCUUUUUUUUCUUGCCUUCUCCUUCUUCACUGAAGCCUAGGGGAGCCAGUAAAGAUUAAAUGUGCUUUCUCAAAGGCAGCCACUUCAUGCUGCUAUGUCGAAAGGGCCAUUAUUAUUAUUAUUUUUAAUAGUAAAAGAAGGGAGCAAGGUUGGGAGAGAGAGAGGAGCUAGGUAGGAUGAUGACGGACUAGCUUUUCUGAGAGGAAAAGGAAAAGGGAAGGGAGAGAAAAAGGAGAGACCCUGAAGUGCAUGGAGGAUUGUGCCUGAGAAGAACCUACAGAGCAUAAACUACAGAGUUACAGUCUCUAGAUUUGGUGUAUCGCUUCCUGCCCCCGCCUCCCCCUCUCCGCCCAGUUCUCCGUCCGCUAUUGAAACACCUCGCCCAGGCUAGCGCACUGCGAGUUCGCAUUUCCCCCCCUUGCUCGGAAUGCUGCUACAGGAGGCUGCAGUCCUGCUCCGCUUCCUAUGGGAAUGUCUCCCCAGUGAAAGGACAAAGACUGCAGAGACUGGUGCACUGAUGGACGCGCAAGCCAACUAUGAAGUUGAAACAAAGAAAGCCAUCACCUGAGGACACCUCUCCCGCUAAGCAGCACACCCAAAUGGUGCAGUUUCAGCCAAUAGAACUCUGAGAACAGGAGGCAAUCUUUUCAAGAAACAGAAAAACUUAAUAACGCCAUCUAGAUUAGAUUUCUAAGGAGCCAAGGACUUUCCCUUCCUCAUGUGUAUUCCUCUGUUUGUAUUUAAAUUUGGUUUCACGUUCACUUUAAAAAAUUUUUCCUAGUAGGAAUAUGCUUAUUAAUGCACCAGUUUUAAAAUCAAAAAUUGCACAAAUGUGUUAAUGUUAUAAGGAACAAAAAUAAUGCUGUAAGUAGAUCGAUUUUUUAGCCACAUACAUAGUUUGAUCUUAAGAGUGACCUAGAGAAAGUAAAGUACUUUUGAAAUAACAAAGGAGUCAGAGGCAAUGCAAAGGAUAAAAUAAUGGUGUAAAACACUCAUAAUGCAGCGUAGAAAUAUCACAUUAUUCCGCCUGAUACUAACAAUCAACCAUUUUUUUAAUCAAGCAAGCUAGGUUCUGUGAGACAUGUUUACUGCCUCUAGAGUUUAAAUCUAGUUAGACAGAGGUAUAUAAACUUUUGAAAAGAUAAGUAACAAAUUGGGUCAAUAGAUGAUAAGAGCAAAACCAAAACAAAAUAAAAGAUAUAAAUAAGGAGCUUAGAGGAGGUCACCAUGAGCUGGACAAAACUGUCUGUUUAGGGAAGAAAGUUCCCAAAGAAGGAAAAUAUAAGAUGAAUCUUAAAGAAUGUUAAAGAUUUAGAUAAAUGGAAAGGAAGGAGAAAAUAGAGCCCUUUAGAUGGAUCCAUAUUGUGAGCAAAGCCAUGGAGGAAGGAAUCUAUGUGGUGAGUUUAGAAAUUAUGAAUACACAUGUCUAGUUGACUUCACUCCAGACAUUCAAUGCCAAUGUGUAUGUACAUACACGGUAAAGAAUUGCACACACAUUCCCCCUCUUCCGCUCCAGGGGUCACCUAGAAUUAUAAUCGUAUUUCUUUGCCAUUAAAGCAAGUGAGAGUGAUUGGUGAUAAUGUGGAGAACUUGUGAUUUUUCUGUUAACCUAGUAAUAAUUGGUAUUUAUUGAGUUCUCGCUAUAUGUUAAGUAUCUUACAUAUUAACUCACUUAAGCCUCACGACAACCCUGCAAAAUAGAAAUUAUUAUCCCUAUUUUACAGACAAGAAAACGGAGGUUUAAUGAGGUUAAGUAACUUGCCAAAGUGCCAUAUAUAGGGUUCACAUUCAGAAUUGGCAAUUGCAAAGCUCAUGAUCUAGCUAACGCAUUAAGUCAGGAUAUUGUGAUCAAUGUCACAGUAUUGCUACUUCUUCUGUAUGCUUUGAUAUUUUUCUAUGGUAAACAAAUAGCUAUUUCAUUUAAUUAUCCCCUCAAAAUUUUCAAUUUCCUGGUUAAAACACUAGAGUAAUAGAAUGUAUUUUCAUGAUAGAAAAUUGAAAAAAGUGAGGAAUAGAGCUUAUUGGCAUUUUAGGCAUUUUUUUUUUUUUUUUUUUUUUUUUGCCAGACUUUGAUGAGAUGUUCACUUUGGUCUGCAUGAAAUCUCAAAUUCUUGAUAAUAAAAAAAGGGGGGCAGGAGAGCUUAAAGGUCAUCUAUUGUAAUGUUCUCUUUUACAGAUGAGAUAAAUCCAUCAAGUUAGAGUGACUUAUGGAAGAUCACACAUUUGAGUGUGGCCGAGUUAGGUCCACAAACCAGGCCCUCCAGCCUAGUCUCAGAGGCUCUUGAACUACUCCACCCUGCCUAAAUGAAGUAGGAACUUGAAUUUGAUCAAUGAAAACCUUCUAUCUUGGUGAUCAGGGAGCAUUGUACCUAGCAGAUUGCUUCAGUUCUGCACCUCUUUGGCUUCUCACCUCAAUGUCACAAAUAGCUAGCUGUGAACUAACAUCUGUAGAUCCAGAAACUGUCAAUGGUCUAUCCCGAAAGAACAAACACAUAAUGUUGUGUGUACAAUGUCUUCAAUGAUAUUCUUAAGUUAUUUGGAAUUCUUAGUUCACCUAAACAAGUCCGAUCUCCUAAUGAGCACUUUCUUAACUUAAUGCACAGUAUGUAUUUGUAAGUGCUUCUGAUGAAUAUUUAUACAUGAUUGUUUCAAUAGUCCUUAUGUUUUUGAAAAUAUCAAUAGUUAUUUGCUAUUUUAAUCCUCACUUAUCCAUGUAACUAACUCAAGAGUACUUCAGCCGUAAAAAGCUGGAAUUGAGGAAAUCUCACUCUUCUUUACCAGCCCCUUUGCAUUCAGUUGGCAUUUAGUAAUGAUUAAUAAAAUGGUCAGCUGGAUAACGCAGAGGUUCAAAAUGCAGUUCUGUCUUGAAGGAGUCAAUUAAGCUGGGACUACUUAAGGACAAACAUCUAGACGUUUGGAAGUACCUGAAUAUGUGACUGUUGUAAAUUUCCACUUAGGUGUCUGGCAUUUCAGACUUAGACCUUCUCGUGGCUCAGCUUGUCCUAUUUUCAAAAUGAUGAUUAUUGGCCACGUUUCACACAGUACUCAUUAAGUGAAUUCAUAAAUAAACAGGGUUUUUUAAAGAGUAGCCAAGCACAAAAUGUGACUUUGUUGACAUUUUAUGAGACUUUGUCAUAUGUCCCCUGAACCCUCAAUAAACCAAUGUUGUAUCAACUGUGAA